rnacentral:rRNA from 1 species
CGGCCGCGUCGACGUGGGAAGAAGGCUCUUGGGUUGUAAACCCCUUUUCUCUGGGAAGAAAGUUGUGAAAGCAACCUGACGGUACCAGAGGAAUCAGCAUCGGCUUGGGAAAAUAUUUAUAGCCUGAAGAUGAGCUCGCGUCCGAUUAGCUAGUUGGCGGAGUAAAGGCCUACCAUGGCGACGAUCUGUAGCUGGUCUGAGAGGAUGAUCAGCCACACCGGGACUGAGACACGGCCCGGACUCCUACGGGAGGCAGCAGUGGGGAAUAUUGGACAAUGGGGGCAACCCUGAUCCCAGCCAUGCCGCGUGUGUGAAGAAGGCCUUUUGGUGUAAAGCACUUUAAGCAGUCGAAGAAGACUCCGUGGUUAAUACCCACGGACGAUGACAUUAGCUGCAGAAUAAGCAC